rnacentral:rRNA from 1 species
CCUGACUGCUAUCGGAUUGAUACUAAGCCAUGCGAGUCAUUGUAGCAAUACAAGGCAGACGGCUCAGUAACGCGUAGUCAACCUACCCUAUGGACGGGGAUAACCUCGGGAAACUGAGAAUAAUACCCGAUAGAACAUUAUACCUGGAAUGGUUUAUGUUUCAAAUAAUUUAUUGCCGUAGGAUGGGACUGCGGCCUAUCAGUUUGUUGGUGAGGUAAUGGCCCACCAAGACUAUUACAGGUACGGGCUCUGAGAGGAGUAGCCCGGAGAUGGGUACUGAGACACGGACCCAGGCCCUAUGGGGCGCAGCAGGCGAGAAAACUUUGCAAUGUGCGAAAGCACGACAAGGUUAAUCCGAGUGGUUUCUGCUAAAGGAACCUUUUGUCAGUCCUAGAAACACUGAUGAAUAAGGGGUGGGCAAGUUCUGGUGUCAGCCGCCGCGGUAAAACCAGCACCUCAAGUGGUCAGGAUGAUUAUUGGGCCUAAAGCAUCCGUAGCCUGCUUUGUUAGUUUUCGGUUAAAUCCAUACGCUCAACGUAUGGGCUGCCGGGAAUACUGCAAAGCUAGGGAGUGGGAGAGGUAGACGGUACUCGGUAGGAAGGGGUAAAAUCCUUUGAUCUAUUGAUGACCACCUGUGGCGAAGGCGGUCUACCAGAACACGUCCGACGGUGAGGGAUGAAAGCUGGGGGAGCAAACCGGAUUAGAUACCCGGGUAGUCCCAGCUGUAAACUAUGCAAACUCGGUGAUGCAUUGGCUUGAUGCCAAUGCAGUGCCGCAGGGAAGCCGUUAAGUUUGCCGCCUGGGAAGUACGUACGCAAGUAUGAAACUUAAAGGAAUUGGCGGGGGAGCACCACAAGGGGUGAAGCCUGCGGUUC